UGAGGAAUAUUGGUCAAUGGACGGAAGUCUGAACCAGCCAAGUAGCGUGCAGGAUGACGGCCCUAUGGGUUGUAAACUGCUUUUGUAUGGGGAUAAAGUUAGGGACGCGUCCCUAUUUGCAGGUACCAUACGAAUAAGGACCGGCUAAUUCCGUGCCAGCAGCCGCGGUAAUACGGAAGGUCCAGGCGUUAUCCGGAUUUAUUGGGUUUAAAGGGAGCGUAGGCUGGAGAUUAAGUGUGUUGUGAAAUGUAGACGCUCAACGUCUGAAUUGCAGCGCAUACUGGUUUCCUUGAGUACGCACAACGUUGGCGGAAUUCGUCGUGUAGCGGUGAAAUGCUUAGAUAUGACGAAGAACUCCGAUUGCGAAGGCAGCUGACGGGAGCGCAACUGACGCUUAAGCUCGAAGGUGCGGGUAUCAAACAGGAUUAGAUACCCUGGUAGUCCGCACAGUAAACGAUGGAUGCCCGCUGUUGGUACCUGGUAUCAGCGGCUAAGCGAAAGCAUUAAGCAUCCCACCUGGGGAGUACGCCGGCNACGGU
rnacentral:rRNA from 1 species